CACGUAGGGGGCAAGCGUUGUCCGGAUUUAUUGGGCGUAAAGAGCUCGUAGGCGGCUCUGUAAGUCGGGUGUGAAACCUCCAGGCUCAACCUGGAGACGCCACCCGAUACUGCUGUGGCUUGAGUCCGGUAGGGGAGCGUGGAAUUCCUGGUGUAGCGGUGAAAUGCGCAGAUAUCAGGAGGAACACCGGUGGCGAAGGCGGGUCUCUGGGCCGUAACUGACGCUGAGGAGCGAAAGCAUGGGGAGCGAACAGG
rnacentral:rRNA from 1 species